rnacentral:snRNA from 1 species
CGGCCUGUGGGCUCCCCAU